GAUGGGAAACGGUUCCAGAAUGUUGCCAAAGAAGGAGUGAAGUUUGAUGAGAGUGAGAAAAGUAAAGAAAGUCGGGAAGCAACAGAGAAGGAGUUUGAGCCUCUGCUCAACUGGAUGAAAGAUAAGGCCCUCAAGGACAAGAUCGAAAAGGCUGUGGUGUCCCAGCGCCUCACAGAGUCUCCCUGUGCCCUUGUGGCCAGCCAGUAUGGAUGGUCUGGAAACAUGGAGAGGAUCAUGAAGGCACAAGCAUACCAGACGGGCAAGGACAUCUCUACAAAUUACUAUGCCAGUCAGAAGAAAACGUUUGAAAUUAAUCCUAGACACCCACUGAUCAGGGACAUGCUGCGGAGGGUUAAGGAAGAUGAAGAUGACAAGACUGUCAUGGAUCUUGCUGUAGUUUUGUUUGAAACGGCAACUCUUCGGUCAGGAUACCUUCUACCCGACACCAAGGCAUAUGGAGACAGGAUAGAAAGGAUGCUCCGCCUCAGCUUAAACAUUGACCCUGAAGCACAGGAACCUACAGAGAAGGAUGAAUUGUAAUUAUACUCUCACUAUGAAUCCUGUGUGGAGAGGGAAUGUGACAUUUUAAAGUUAUUUCUUUUGAAAGACUUGUUUUGGAUGCUCCCCCAAGCCUCCCUCUCCCCUGCACUGUAAAAUGUUGGGAUUAUGGGUCACAGGAAGAAGUGGUUUUUUUAGUUGAAUUUUUUUUUUUAACAUUCCUCCUGAAUGUAAAUUUGUACUAUUUAACUGACUAUUGGUGUAAAAUCUUGUCAUGUGUAUAAAAAUAAAAAAAGAUCCCAA
rnacentral:lncRNA from 1 species